GAUGAACGCUGGCGGCGUGCCUAAUACAUGCAAGUCGAGCGAACGGACGAGAAGCUUGCUUUUCUGAUGUUAGCGGCGGACGGGUGAGUAACACGUGGAUAACCUACCUAUAAGACUGGGAUAACUUCGGGAAACCGGAGCUAAUACCGGAUAAUAUUUUGAACCGCAGGGUUCAAAAGUGAAAGACGGUCUUGCUGUCACUUAUAGAUGGAUCCGCGCUGCAUUAGCUAGUUGGUAAGGUAACGGCUUACCAAGGCAACGAUGCAUAGCCGACCUGAGAGGGUGAUCCGCCACCCUGGAACUGAGACACGGUCCAGACUCCUACGGGAGGCAGCAGUAGGGAAUCUUCCGCAAUGGGCGAAAGCCUGACGGAGCAACGCCGCGUGAGUGAUGAAGGUCCUCGGAUCGUAAAACUCUGUUAUUAGGGAAGAACAUAUGUGUAAGUAACUGUGCACAUCUUGACGGUACCUAAUCAGAAAGCCCCGGCUAACUACGUG
rnacentral:rRNA from 1 species